CAGCAGCCGCGGUAAAACGUAGGUGGCAAGCGUUGUCCGGAAUUAUUGGGCGUAAAGCGCGCGCAGGCGGCCUCCUAAGUCUGAUGUGAAAGCCCCCGGCUCAACCGGGGAGGGCCAUUGGAAACUGGGAGGCUUGAGUAUAGGAGAGAAGAGUGGAAUUCCACGUGUAGCGGUGAAAUGCGUAGAGAUGUGGAGGAACACCAGUGGCGAAGGCGACUCUUUGGCCUAUAACUGACGCUGAGGCGCGAAAGCGUGGGGAGCAAACAGGAUUAGAUACCCCCGUAGUCCCUGUCUCUUAUAC
rnacentral:rRNA from 1 species